rnacentral:lncRNA from 1 species
GAGGGCCAUCCAACUAUCAAAACCGGGCAAAUUUAGCCCUUGGGUGGUUUUGAGGGUGGUUUCGCAUUUUCUAGAAAUUCAAAAAAAUUAUUCAAUCAAAAAAUUCAUAAUUGAUUCAUUUCAAAUCAAAAAAUAUGAAGUUGGUACCAAAAGUUUUCUAAAAAUGUAGUCUAUUUGUUACAACUUUAUUUAGAGUUGUUUACUUCAUAUUUGUUACUAUUCCUAGUGUUUUAUAGCUCCUAAUAAAAAACAAGAACAUGAACAACUAAGAUUCAAAUGAUGCCA